rnacentral:sRNA from 1 species
GUUUUUGUUGUUGGUGAAAGGUGAGGGGAACAGCUGAUCCGUCUGUUGGGAGGACAGAUAUCUCAAGGCCAGGAUGGAAGAAUCACCACUAAGCCGGGCACCAUCCCGUGGUGGAGUCAACUUUCUCAAUGUAGCCCGGACCUACAUCCCCAACACCAAGGUGGAAUGUCACUACACCCUUCCCCCAGGCACCAUGCCCAGUGCCAGUGACUGGAUUGGCAUCUUCAAGGUGGAGGCUGCCUGUGUUCGGGAUUACCACACAUUUGUGUGGUCUUCCGUGCCUGAAAGUACAACUGAUGGUUCCCCCAUUCACACCAGUGUCCAGUUCCAAGGAGCUCAGCUCUACCAGUUCCGAUAUGUGAACCGCCAGGGCCGGGUGUGUGGGCAGAGCCCCCCUUUCCAGUUCCGAGAGCCAAGGCCCAUGGAUGAACUGGUGACCCUGGAGGAGGCUGAUGGGGGCUCUGACAUCCUGCUGGUUGUCCCCAAGGCAACUGUGUUACAGAACCAGCUCGAUGAGAGCCAGCAAGAACGGAAUGACCUGAUGCAGCUGAAGCUGCAGCUGGAGGGACAGGUGACAGAGCUGAGGAGCCGAGUGCAGGAGCUCGAGAGGGCUCUGGCAACUGCCAGGCAGGAGCACACGGAGCUGAUGGAACAGUACAAGGGGAUUUCCCGGUCCCAUGGGGAGAUCACAGAAGAGAGGGACAUCCUGAGCCGGCAACAGGGAGACCAUGUGGCACGCAUCCUGGAGCUAGAGGAUGACAUCCAGACCAUCAGUGAGAAAGUGCUGACGAAGGAAGUGGAGCUGGACAGGCUUAGAGACACAGUGAAGGCCCUGACUCGGGAACAAGAGAAGCUCCUUGGGCAACUGAAAGAAGUACAAGCAGACAAGGAGCAAAGUGAGGCUGAGCUCCAAGUGGCACAACAGGAGAACCAUCACUUAAAUUUGGACCUGAAGGAGGCGAAGAGCUGGCAAGAGGAGCAGAGUGCUCAGGCUCAGCGACUGAAAGACAAGGUGGCCCAGAUGAAGGACACCCUAGGCCAGGCCCAGCAGCGGGUGGCCGAGCUGGAGCCCUUGAAGGAGCAGCUUCGAGGGGCCCAGGAGCUUGCAGCCUCAAGCCAGCAGAAAGCCACCCUUCUUGGGGAGGAGUUGGCCAGCGCAGCAGCAGCCAGGGACCGCACCAUAGCCGAACUACACCGCAGCCGCCUGGAAGUGGCUGAAGUUAACGGCAGGCUGGCUGAGCUCGGUUUGCACUUGAAGGAAGAAAAAUGCCAAUGGAGCAAGGAGCGGGCAGGGCUGCUGCAGAGUGUGGAGGCAGAGAAGGACAAGAUCCUGAAGCUGAGUGCAGAGAUACUUCGAUUGGAGAAGGCAGUUCAGGAGGAGAGGACCCAAAACCAAGUGUUCAAGACUGAGCUGGCCCGGGAGAAGGAUUCUAGCCUGGUACAGUUGUCGGAAAGUAAGCGGGAGCUGACAGAGCUGCGGUCAGCCCUGCGUGUGCUCCAGAAGGAAAAGGAGCAGUUACAGGAGGAGAAACAGGAAUUGCUAGAGUACAUGAGAAAGCUAGAGGCCCGCCUGGAGAAGGUGGCAGAUGAGAAGUGGAAUGAGGAUGCCACCACAGAGGAUGAGGAGGCCGCUGUGGGGCUGAGUCCGUGUAGCCCCAAUCUUGUAACACCUCUUCCCCACUCUACCUCCCGCUGUUGAGGAAGGCUCCAUGUAACCUUGCUGGGAGCUGCCUUUGCCUUCUUUGUGUUUUGCCUUUUCUUUCCCAGACCCUGGCCCCUGUUUAGUCUAAUGAUACCCCUCAUCCAGAGGAGACAGCUGGUCCAACUCCUCACAACACAUCCUUUUUUCUUCUCUGCCUGCUUCAUCUCCUACAGGCUGCCCGGCAGCUCUGACAGACUCAGAGGACGAGUCCCCAGAAGAUAUGAGGCUCCCACCCUAUGGCCUUUGUGAGCGUGGAGACCCAGGCUCCUCUCCUGCUGGGCCUCGAGAGGCUUCUCCCCUUGUUGUCAUCAGCCAGCCGGCUCCCAUUUCUCCUCACCUCUCUGGGCCAGCUGAGGACAGUAGCUCUGACUCGGAGGCUGAAGAUGAGAAGUCAGUCCUGAUGGCAGCUG